UACAGAGGUGGCAAGCGUUGUUCGGAAUUACUGGGCGUAAAGGGCGCGUAGGCGGCCCGAUAAGUCCCGCGUGAAAUCCCCCGGCUCAACCGGGGAACUGCGCGGGAAACUGUCGAGCUUGAGUUCGGGAGAGGGAAGCGGAAUUCCGGGUGUAGCGGUGAAAUGCGCAGAUAUCCGGAGGAACACCGGUGGCGAAGGCGGCUUCCUGGACCGACACUGACGCUGAGGCGCGAAAGCUAGGGGAGCAAAC
rnacentral:rRNA from 1 species